UACGUAGGGUGCAAGCGUUGUCCGGAAUUAUUGGGCGUAAAGGGCUCGUAGGCGGUCCAUCGCGUCGGGAGUGAAAAGCUGGGGCUUAACCCCAGUCCUGCUUCCGAUACGGGUGGACUAGAGGUAGGUAGGGGAGAUCGGAAUUCCUGGUGUAGCGGUGAAAUGCGUAGAUAUCAGGAGGAAUACCGAUGGCGAAGGCAGGUCUCUGGGCUGACACUGAGACGCGAAAGCGUGGGGAGCGAACAGG
rnacentral:rRNA from 1 species